rnacentral:lncRNA from 1 species
AGUCACCUUGUCAAGGAUUAGAGGUACUUUUUACAUAUUCCAUGCUGUUCGCUGUUCCAGUCAUCCUAGCUCUCUGUCUGUAUUGGUUUGUCAUAAACCGUCUGCAAUGAACUUAAGUAAAAGAGUAUUUGCUUCUUGCAUGUAGAUGUGAUCUUGGUUAUUAUGUGGUAUUAAUUAGGUCUAGUCUUUGAAUACAUGAGCCUGUGCUGCAAAGUGAAUAUAAGAUGCGUAUGUGGUACGUUUUCUUGUACAAUUGGAGCUUCUUUGUUUAAAUGGUGUUUUGAUGGGUACGUUACAUCGUCUUGCUCGAGUUUGUGUAGCUUGCUGCAGAAUCUUGUCUUGCUGAUUUAGAAAUAAUCAGGAAAUUAAUUCCUCGAGGCAUGUUACAUUUCUAAUUUGCAGUUUUAUUAGCCUAUGGAUAAAUACUGUAAUGUUUGGAAGAAAAAGGAUGCUAUUAGGUGUCAGAAUACAGAAUACAGAAUACAGUGUUAUGAACAAUGCUCUUGUUCGAUAGACGGCUUCGCCGGUACCUCUGGGGCAUUUUCAUGUUCCUGACAUGAGCUAAAUCUACAUCACUAUAUUUGAUGUUAUGUAUAAUAUCAGCUUAUUUGGUAAAAUGCAAGCAACAAUGGAACAAAAUUGUGAUUUUUGAUCAGAUAUGCAGCCAAGGAGAUUAAUUUUGUAGCUAAAAAUUGGUUUAGCAACGAAGUUCCUUGUUUUUCGAAAAGACAGCAGAAAGAAUUUCUGGGCAAG